ensembl:lncRNA
GGGGAGAAUGCCCUCCUAGUCGUCUAGCCUGGUCCCAGAUUGGUUGAUGCUGUCUUGCAAUCAUUGCACGACAGUGACCAUAGGAGUUGGGAAAACAGAGUGAACAGAUCUGGGACCAGGCUACUCGUAACCCGUUAUCAUCUUCAUUCUACUUGCUCUGGUGUAGAUUUGUACCCACCACACCAACACCAGUAGCAAGGAUGCCAAUCUGUUGCUGCUGUAGCUGACGUGUCUCUUGGCAAAAUAGUGAUAAAGCCAGUUAGUUUAGGCAGAAACAGACUGGCAUUCAGGCUAACCUGAGCCACAUCAAAUCAUUCCCAAUCCCAAAAUUGACUUUUCAGAUCUAAGGGAGUGUAUAGGGAAUAGGGACUAGGGGUUGAUUUGAAUUUUAGCAACUCCCUUUCCAUACCUUCUCAAUAGUGUUGAACUGUACAGCGUAUGAACCAGCGCUGGCACCCACAGAUGGCAUUUAGUUCAUGUCAUAGGACUCAUACCUGAAAAUGACACCAACUAACAGGCUGGAUUAGAUCAAUUAACAAACAAAACCAGAUUAGGAGAUUACAGAUUACAGAGGGGUAGUGGGAUUAGGUGUUGGGUUAUGGCACCAAUUUGGAAAGGGAUUUCAUAGCUGAUAAGAUUUUGCUUUCACUGUAAAAACCCUUUUGCAAUGUAUAUAGGAAAUAUUUCAUGUUUUCUUGUGAAGUUAAGAAUGGGGGAAAUAGGAUGUGCAGAAUUGAAUGAUUGGGAUUGCAUGGCCUUUCAGGACAUACAAUUUGUCAAACUGUUUUGGCUGACUGGUUCGUGAAGGUCAUGGUUUGAGUGUCUUGGGUUUAACUUAUUUGGGCGUGAGACUGGUGACUUAUUCUAUUGUUGCAGUGUGACCCUACUGCAGUCAUUUUGUGACACUUGUCUGUAAGAAGGUCAUGUGUCCAAAUUGCUAUUUUCUGUCUGUCUUUUCUGUUUUCAAUACGCUUUUUCAAAUGUUUUGUUCUGAUGUGUUGCUACCUCUUGUGCUCAAAUAAACACUAUUGCACUGAUAAUUCACCAUUAAGAAUGACAGGUC